rnacentral:rRNA from 1 species
AAGUUUGAUCAUGGCUCAGAACGAACGCUGGCGGCAUGCCUAACACAUGCAAGUCGAACGAAGUCUUCGGACUUAGUGGCGCACGGGUGAGUAACAUGUGGGAAUCUACCUAGAGGUUCGGAAUAACUGCGGGAAACUGUAGCUAAUACCGGAUGUGUCCGUAAGGAGAAAGAUUUAUCGCCUUUAGAUGAGCCCGCACUGGAUUAGCUUGUUGGUGAGGUAAUAGCUCCACCAAGGCUACGAUCUAUAGCUGAUUUGAGAGGAUGAUCAGCCACACUGGGACUGAGACACGGCCCAGACUCCUACGGGAGGCAGCAGUGGGGAAUAUUGGACAAUGGGGGAAACCCUGAUCCAGCAAUGCCGCGUGAGUGAAGAAGGCCUUCGGGUUGUAAAACUCUUUCAUCAACGAAGAUAAUGACAUUAAUUGAAGAAGAAGCUCCGGCUAACUCCGUGCCAGCAGCCGCGGUAAUACGGAGGGGGCUAGCGUUGUUCGGAAUCACUGGGCGUAAAGCGUAUGUAGGCGGAUCAAAAAGUUAGAUGUGAAAUCCCUGGGCUCAACCCAGGAACUGCAUUUAAAACUAGUGAUCUAGAAUUUGGUAGAGGUUAGUAGAAUUUCCAGUGUAGAGGUGAAAUUCGUAGAUAUUG